rnacentral:rRNA from 1 species
AGGACGAACGCUGGCGGCGUGCCUAAUGCAUGCAAGUCGCACGCACCGAGCUUGCUCGGUGAGUGGCGCACGGCUGAGGAUCACGUGGGAACAUGCCUCCUUGUGGGGGGACAACCCCGCGAAAGCGGGGCUAAUCCCGCAUACGCUCGGCAACGAGGAAAGCGGCAACGCGCAGGGAGAGUGGCCCGCGGCCCAUCAGGUUGUUGGAGGGGUAAUGGCCUACCAAGCCGGUGACGGGUAGCUGGUCUGUGAGGACAGACAGCCAGACUGGGACUGAGACACGGCCCAGACUCCUACGGGAGGCAGCAGCAAGGAAUUUCGCAAUGGGCGCAAGCCUAGAACGAGCAACGCCGCGUGGAGGAUGACGGUCCUUCGGGUUAGUAAACUUCCGUUUUUCGGGGGAACGUAGUAAGUGGACGGUAACCCCGGG